GGAGAAAAAGAGGAGGAAUGGCAAAGGCUGAUUGACUUUGUCAGCUACUUACUUUAAAAAACAUUUGAGAAAGCCAGAAAGCAGAGGGGAGGAAGCUCCACCGUCAUGAGAAUGGGAAGCAGAGGCAGCGGCAGCGUGCACAGACAUCCUUUGAAGGUUUGUUAUAAACACAGAAACUGAUGUCUGGGAAAAGGCUGGAGUGCAAUGGCGCGAUCUCGGCUCACCGCAACCUCCGCCACCCAGGUUCAAGCAGUUCUCCUGCCUUUGUCUCCCGAGUAGCUGGGAUUACAGGCAUGCACCACCACGCCCGGCUAAUUUUGUAUUUUUAGUAGAGACAGGGUUUCUCCAUGUUAAGGCUGUUUUCGAACUCCUGACCUCAGGUGAUCCGCCCGCCUCGGCCUCCCAAAGUGCUGGGAUUACAAGCGUGAGCCACUGUGCCCAGCCCAAGCUGUACUUUUAUUUAAGUAUAAUUUAGUUAGAUAUGUGAACUCACUGAAAAUGUAUACACAAUUUUCUGUGUAUGUAUAAAAUUUGAUAUUUAAAUGUAUUUAUGGCAAGAGUAUCUGUAACUUUUAUGAACAUAUCAAGUGGACAUGAUCACAAAACAUGCAAUUUAUUACCAUAGAGCUUCAGAAAUACCCCUUCCAAAAAGUAUGUAUAAUGAUAUGAUACUUACAAUGGAGGCAACUAUGAUAUUUAACUGUCAGUAAACUGAAAGAAAAAAAUGACUCAAAAAGUUUGUAAAGAUGAUACCUUUC
ensembl:lncRNA LINC01099 long intergenic non-protein coding RNA 1099